CCUGACCCUCUAGGACGGGUAGGGUUGCAGACAAGCAGGGGAGACAGCACACCGCCCUCGUCCCUGCCAGGAAGGAGCCCCGAGCGGCUCUGAUCCUGCAUUUGCAUCAGCACCGCCGCCAGCCCUGCCGACUCCUUCCAGUUGUAGGGACCUUUGACAGACACGUGAGGCGUGAGGGAGAGUGUGUGUGGUGGGGGGUGGGGGGGCAGAACAGGAGGCUCCCCGGGCAGGGCCGGAGGUCGUUGGCUGGGAAAAGGCCGGAGAUGGAAGAUGACAGUCUCGGGGCAGGGGGGUCCCUCGCUGUGGCCCCCCCGGCAUUGCGGGUGUGUGUCGAAAUGGGCACACUCUUUAGCGUGACCCGGGGCCAAGAUCAAGCAGCUCAUCACCAAGUGAAGGUUGUAUUAGAUGCAGAAAGUCCACAUCCUCCGUCUCACGCUGCCUGCGGAUUUAGCACCUAAAGGCGGGCCAGGUGGGAAACCUUUCCCUGGGCGCCCCUGUGUGUCACGUCGCGCUUCUUUUCCCUCUUUCGCUCUAUCUCCUUUCUUUUCUGCUCCCCGCUCGCACUCCCUGCAUAGGUACACGGGAGCACUUGUCCUUGGGUUUGUCUGUGUUGUCGUGUCUUGGGGUACAGCUCUUCCAGUGCCUCUGACGUGGCGGAAUGGCUUACUUUCACGUCCGAUGUGAACAGAGCCCAGGCUCGCUGCAGAGCUUGAACCCUGAGAAGUGGCCUUGAACGUCUGAGACCACGCGUCCCCUGCCAGGUGAAGAGGAGGCCGAGAGGGAAGAGAGGGCCUGGGAUGGGGAAGAAGGGAACACGGGCUUCUGGCCGCUGGCCUCUCUCCAAGACAGGUGGACUCUGCGUUCAGAAAGGAGCUCCUUUCAUCUCUCGGCCCUAAAUGGCCGCUCUUUGCGUUUUCUCUCCUUCUCGCUUUCCCUCCUCCCUCUCCCUCGCUCCCUCCCCACCCCCACCCUGGCCUCCAAAAGAAUUUAAUCUGCUGGACAACAAACAAUACUGUUAUAAAACUUUGAAAACAAGAGGGCGAGGCCUCCCUGACAAGGAGAAGGGCAUGCCGGGUAAGAGCCCAGGGAGCCUGCCAGGCCCGAGACGGAGCCAGGCCAGAGCCCACCAGCCGUGCCAUCCCCGGUCCAGAGGGGAAGGAACCGAAACCAAAGUCUUGGGGCGAGAAGCGCUCGAGAAGGGGAAGUGGUGCGUGUUCCCCUCGCGCCGAUCUGAUGGGAAUGCACUAGACUGUGAAGCUCCCUCCCCCUCCCCCUCCCCCGCUCCUCCCCCCUCCCUCCUCUCCCUGCCUCCUCCCUCCGCUCCCUGUUCCAGGUCCUGAGACUGGCAGGCAGAGGUCCUGAUAACAGAGCGAGGCUGGCACAGCUGUGUAGGUACAGCCGGCCGGGCCGGCUGCAGGGGAAGCAGGAGAGAAAGGGGUUCCGAGUUGGCCUCGGCUUCCAGACCUGCCCUCUGUCCGCCCAGCCUCCCCUCCCCCCACCUAGGGAAGUGGAACCAGGUCACGGGGCGGGGUGGGGCGGGCCCGGGUCCACGUGCUUCUCCAGGUGUGUCCCCAGGUACCGGGUAGAACUGCGGCUGGGAGGUUAGUGGGUACGCGCCAGGCUUCCUGGUGCCCGCCAGGGGCCGUGCUCCCCGGAGGAUGUGAC
rnacentral:lncRNA from 1 species